UACAGAGGAUGCAAGCGUUUAUCCGGAAUUAUUGGGCGUAAAGCGCACGUAGGCGGCUUUGCAAGUCCCAUGUGAAAUCCCACGGCUUAACCGUGGAAGUGCAUGGGAAACUGCAGAGCUUGAGUACUUAAGAGGAUCGCGGAAUUCCCGGUGUAGAGGUGAAAUUCGUAGAUAUCGGGAGGAACACCAGUGGCGAAGGCGGCGAUCUGGGAAGAUACUGACGCUGAGGUGCGAAAGCUAGGGUAGCAAACGGG
rnacentral:rRNA from 1 species